ensembl:lncRNA
UGAGCAGAAGAGACUUCUUUUAAAAACACCUUUUGAACAAAAGUGUAAUUCCAAACAAAAAAUGAUUGGGAUUUGAUUUAAUUCACCAUAAACUGUUUAUAUUGUGAAAACCGUGUGAUUUUGAGCACAACCUGUUUGGAAACAAUCAUUAUUUUUGCAGUUUCAUUGUGCACUACAGAAAUUACACACGUUUUGUUAAAUGCUUUGCUUGAAAAGUGUGCUUGUGCAUCUUUCCUUCAGCUGCGCAGCUUUUUGAUUAACAUUUAGACAAUUUAAAGUGUCCAGAUACUUUUGGGUGUCAUUGUAUGUGUAUUUGAAAAAGAAAACAGAACUCCAUGAACUAUCAAUAAUGCUCACGCUGGCUGGUGAAAUCAGACUGCGGGUAUUUCGAUGUGAAUCAGCAUCAGCGUCAUGUGGAGGGUGUUGAAUCUGUCCAGAACCUCGGCAGGCUUCACAGAGCAGAGACUGAAACUAGGCAUUUCGUUGCCAAGGUUCAAUAUACUCUAAACCCAGGUGGGCAAAGAUGUCCUCUUCCGUGUUAGCAGGCAAGAAGGUAUUCUGGAGAGAGACAGAGAGGGAAGGGUGAGCUCGUGUGAUUUCCGCUGUCUGAGAAAUGAACAGAGGCAGCGGCAUGUGAACUUGACGAAUGAUUCAACAGAGAGACUGUGAGAGGAAGAGGAAUUACUGCAGCCACGUUAUUGCACAUUUAAAGAGUUCACCGAGUGUGAACCGGAUCCGUGCGGCGCAUUAACAAACCCUCCUGACCUUGCCACGGAUGGUGUUAGGGGACAAAGUCACUCUAGAUGUCAUAACUGAUGAGCUCGGGAGAAGGUGCGCCUGUGCUCAGGGCGUGAUGUCAUGAGACGGUAAAUAUCGCGGCUGGACUCACCGCAGCAGAGGACGGGAAGCUGUGAGCUCCACACAUCCUGCCUGGAAGUGCUAAACUGGAACUUGUCAGGAUGAGGCAGAGGAAAUAGAAAGCAUGUGAACACUUUAAGCAGGAGCGACUGGCUGCUGCACAAACCAGGUGGAAAGACGAGCUCCAGCUCUCCAGUUUAACUUCACACAUCAUUAUUUGCAAUGCAGAUAAAAGAGGGAGGAGCCAGAGAGUCAUGUGACUAGUUAUAUAUCAAAAUCUUUUUUUUCUUUUUUUUCUUUGAAUUAAUUACAUGUGUGUAUGGAGGGAUGUAUGUAAUCUGUUAAACCCACAUGAGCUCUGUUACUGUCUAUCUUAGCCAGGACACUCUUUUAAAAUAGAUUUUUAAUCUCAAUGUGCUUCUUUUCCUGGUAAAAUAAAGGUUAUAAUUAGUGCUGUCA